rnacentral:rRNA from 1 species
CAUGGAGGCGAGCGUAUACAUGCAAGUCGAGCGAACAGAUAAGGAGCUUGCUCCUUUGACGUUAGCGGCGGACGGGUGAGUAACACGUGGAUAACCUACCUAUAAGACUGGGAUAACUUCGGGAAACCGGAGCUAAUACCGGAUAACAUAUUGAACCGCAUGGUUCAAUAGUGAAAGGCGGCUUUGCUGUCACUUAUAGAUGGAUCCGCGCCGUAUUAGCUAGUUGGUAAGGUAACGGCUUACCAAGGCAACGAUACGUAGCCGACCUGAGAGGGUGAUCGGCCACACUGGAACUGAGACACGGUCCAGACUCCUACGGGAGGCAGCAGUAGGGAAUCUUCCGCAAUGGGCGAAAGCCUGACGGAGCAACGCCGCGUGAGUGAUGAAGGUCUUCGGAUCGUAAAACUCUGUUAUCAGGGAAGAACAAAUGUGUAAGUAACUGUGCACAUCUUGACGGUACCUGAUCAGAAAGCCACGGCUAACUACGUGCCAGCAGCCGCGGUAAUACGUAGGUGGCAAGCGUUAUCCGGAAUUAUUGGGCGUAAAGCGCGCGUAGGCGGUUUUUUAAGUCUGAUGUGAAAGCCCACGGCUCAACCGUGG